UGGGGAAUAUUGCACAAUGGGGGAAACCCUGAUGCAGCGACGCCGCGUGAACGAAGAAGGUAUUCGUAUCGUAAAGUUCUGUCCUAUGGGAAGAUAAUGACAGUACCAUAGAAGAAAGCUCCGGCUAAAUACGUGCCAGCAGCCGCGGUAAUACGUAUGGAGCGAGCGUUGUCCGGAAUUAUUGGGCGUAAAGGGUACGCAGGCGGUUAAAUAAGUCGAAUGUUAAAGAUCGGGGCUCAACCCCGCAAAGCAUUGGAAACUGAUAAACUUGAGUAGUGGAGAGGAAAGUGGAAUUCCUAGUGUAGUGGUGAAAUACGUAGAUAUUAGGAGGAAUACCAGUAGCGAAGGCGACUUUCUGGACACAAACUGACGCUGAGGUACGAAAGCGUGGGGAGCAAACAGG
rnacentral:rRNA from 1 species